GUGCUCACUUUGGUAGCACAUAUACUAAAAUUGGAACAAUACAGAUAAGAUUAGCAUGGCCCUUGUGCAAGGAUGACACACAAAUUCAUGAGAAUUCCACCACAUUG
rnacentral:snRNA from 1 species